UACGUAGGGUGCGGGCGUUAAUCGGAAUUACUGGGCGUAAAGCGUGCGCAGGCGGUUUUGUAAGCCAGAUGUGAAAUCCCCGGGCUUAACCUGGGAAUGGCAUUUGGGACUGCAAGGCUUGAGUGCGGCAGAGGAGACUGGAAUUCCUGGUGUAGCAGUGAAAUGCGUAGAUAUCAGGAGGAAUACCGAUGGCGAAGGCAGGUCUCUGGGCUGACACUGACGCUCAUGCACGAAAGCGUGGGGAGCAAACAGG
rnacentral:rRNA from 1 species